rfam:Candidatus Pacearchaeota archaeon CG1_02_31_27 cg1_0.2_scaffold_84_c, whole genome shotgun sequence.
GCUCCCGUAACUCAGCCUGGAUAGAGUGCCAGCCUUCUAAGCUGGAAGUCGCAGGUUCAAAUCCUGUCGGGAGCG